rnacentral:rRNA from 1 species
GACGAACGCUGGCGGCGUGCUUAACACAUGCAAGUCGAACGGUGAACCAGGGCUUGCCCUGGGGAUCAGUGGCGAACGGGUGAGUAACACGUGGGCAACCUGCCCCUGACUCUGGGAUAACAGCGGGAAACCGUUGCUAAUACCGGAUACGACCACUUCGGGCAUCCGACGGUGGUGGAAAGAACUUCGGUCAGGGAUGGGCCCGCGGCCUAUCAGCUUGUUGGUGGGGUAACGGCCUACCAAGGCGACGACGGGUAGCCGGCCUGAGAGGGCGACCGGCCACACUGGGACUGAGACACGGCCCAGACUCCUACGGGAGGCAGCAGUGGGGAAUAUUGCGCAAUGGGCGAAAGCCUGACGCAGCGACGCCGCGUGAGGGACGACGGGCCUUCGGGUUGUAAACCUCUUUCAGCAGGGACGAAGGGAAACUGACUGUACCUGCAGGAGAAGCACCGGCUAACUACGUGCCAGCAGCCGCGGUAAU